CAGCCGCGCGGGAAUACAGAGGGUGCAAGCGUUAAUCGGAAUUACUGGGCGUAAAGCGCGCGUAGGUGGUUUGUUAAGUUGGAUGUGAAAUCCCCGGGCUCAACCUGGGAACUGCAUCCAAAACUGGCAAGCUAGAGUAUGGUAGAGGGUGGUGGAAUUUCCUGUGUAGCGGUGAAAUGCGUAGAUAUAGGAAGGAACACCAGUGGCGAAGGCGACCACCUGGACUGAUACUGACACUGAGGUGCGAAAGCGUGGGGAGCAAACAGGAUUAGAUACCCGCGUAGUCCCUGUCUCUUAUACC
rnacentral:rRNA from 1 species